CUCAGGUAGCGAGAAAGCAGGGAAUGAUUGACUGAGGAAAGUGCUGGCUUAAAAUUGUUUUAUUAUAAAUUUUGGCACAAUGAUUUGGUUUUUAAAAUGGGCUCACUAUGUAAUCUCGUCGCUCGUGUGAGGAGACACCAUGGCUAUGAUAACUUACGGAAGAACGCAUUUAGUUGGAUGCUUGCUUAUAGUUCCGAAGGGUUAACCAGAUAUAGGACUCCUCUGUCUUGCUACGAUGGACAGCCACAGGGAUUCACAUGAAUAAAAGAAGCAACAGUGGGUGCCAGGCUGUUUGUGUUGUGGAUUGAACGGAGAGCCUUGCACAGAAAUGUGCUGUUUUGUUAUACAUUUAUUACAAAGAGUCUCACUAAAAGAAAAUAUCUCAAAAAGGAUGCCAAGCUAAGAACCUCCACCUGGAGAACUGGGGGAAGGCAGGGCAAUGUAAGUUUUCUGCUUGCCCAAGACCUGUGGAAGAUAUAAACAGAAUCAGCCUAAAAAUGGCUGAUAUUACCCAAGCCUGAAAAGGGCUCAGAGAACACCAAGUCACCCCUGCUAGAAAGCUUAAUCAGAGCAUCUUAACAGAGCUCCUAAGCAGGCUUGGCAGUUCAGGAUUUUGUCUUCUGGUUGUUUUCUUUUCCACUUAGAAUAUCAACGUCAACAUACAGCACCCUCUGGCCAUACUUUAGCAGUUCCAGGAUGGCCAAGACGAUCUCGAUCUCAUUGAUGUAACAGAAACCUGAUAUGUCAGACUUCUUUACAUGAUGCAGCCCCCCCAGCCUGCCUCGCAGUGAUGUCCCUCUGAUGUUUAUCAAGUUUCACAGCACUUUCCAAGGAGCCGCCAAUAGACAACUGACAACUCAGACAGGCCAUUGAUUACCAGACAGUCCUCACCAACGCUGAAUCUCUGCAUUGCUGUAUUCAGACACGUUAUCUGGGCGAAUAGAGCACAAGAAUUUAAUGUAGUCAUCACUGUGGGACUUGGUCAUCUCCUCAGCGUUGGCUCUGUGAGGACGAUAGAUUUCCAGUUUUUGGUAGAGAUGUAGUUGAGCGGCAAAUCGAGAGUCAUGUGGAUUUGGUGAGGCUUCAUUGGGUGGCCCUGUCCAUAAAAUAGUUUCCAACAUCCCUGUUAACAGACAUUCCUCUUGCCCUGAGUCUGUGCCAUCUUUCUCACCACCCAGUGCUCCUGCCAGUCUGAUGUUUUAAUAUAUUUAGAUGGUGAUGCUUUAAAUGGCCUUUGACAAAUUCUAUACUAAUUUCUAUUUAAGACAAGGAAAGAAAACAAAUAUGGAUAAGGAACAUAAAAUAAUGAAUGGACUGGAAACAGAAGUAAACUUAUU